CCUCGGCGGGAGAAAUGCUGUUUAUUUAGAGUUGGCCAAUACAAAAAAUGAGUGUAAAUCGAGUAUUUUCGAUUAGAAAACGAAGUCGUUUCAAAAGAGAAAUUGGUGCAAAUGUAAAUAUUGAAGGAGAAGAUUCAUCUGGAGGGGCGAAUAUCCGCUGUGUACCCGAUUCCCCAUCGUAGUGUCGCCUCCUCAAAAGGAUCCAUUAUGAUUCGUUUUCUCGACGAAAAACAAGAUCUGUUUUCAAGAAUACUAUUCUCAAGAAGAUUCCUCAAAAAGCAAAUAUUUUUUCGGAAACAAAAGCAAGCAUUGUUAUUCUCAGAAAUUAUUAUUGUUUUUCAAUGCACAAAUGGACUGAAUGAAGUGUUUAAGCUCUUGAAAUGUGCUUUGAACCUGAUGAAAUCUGAACAGGAAUUUUGAAAAUAAUGUGACAAAUUGGAACAGUGGAUGAAUUUAAAGUCUUACAAUCAUGAUGAUUCCUCCGAUUAUAAAGUUUGGAAAGAAAUUAAGUAGGAGAAAAAUAUGAAUGUGAUUCAAAAAUAGUUA